rnacentral:rRNA from 1 species
GUACGGGAGGCAGCAGUUUGGAAUAUUCCACAAUGGGCGAAAGCCUGAUGGAGCGACACCGCGUGGAGGAUGAAGGUCUUCGGAUCGUAAACUCCUUUAGGCCUGGAUGAAGGUUCCGGGGUGAAUAAUCCCGGAAUUUGACAGUACAGGCAGAAUAAGCCACGGCUAACUCUGUGCCAGCAGCCGCGGUAAUACAGAGGUGGCUAACGUUAUCCGGAAUUACUGGGUGUAAAGGGUCCGCAGGCUGUCCUGUAAGUCAAAGGUGAAAUAAUCCGGCUCAACCGGGUUUCUGCCUUUGAUACUGCAGGACGUGAGUACGGAAGAGGAGAGUGGAAUUCCCAGUGUAGCGGUGAAAUGCGUAGAUAUUGGGAAGAACACCGGUGGCGAAGGCGGCUCUCUGGUCCGAUACUGACGCUCAGGGACGAAAGCCAGGGGAGCAAACGGGAUUAGAUACCCUGGUAGU